CAUAAUUAAUUUUAUACAUAUCAACACUAAACACGAUACAUUUUAUGGUAUAGUUUUAUAAUAAUUUGAAAGUGACCCCAUAUCAAAUCCACUAAAUGCCUUUUAUAAAUGAUAAUUAUAACUUUUUUUCUUUGGAAACUUUACAAUCCAAUUAUUUUGUGGGUAAUCUUUAAUUGUUAUCAUAUACAUCAUAUGUGAAGCUUUUUGC
rnacentral:lncRNA from 1 species